UAGAGUUCCAGGUACAUUUAUGACACUGAAAUAUCACACAUGAAUGUAAACUAAGUUUCUCACAAAAUAAUUAGACUAUACUGGAAAGCUUUACUAAACAUUAUACAAUAUUUGAGCAAUUAUACUACAGUUGAAAUGCUUGGGGUCAGUAAAGACAUUUCAACAUUUCAAUUUUAAAUAAAUGCGGUUCUUUUGAACUUUCUAUAUUGAUCAAAGAAUACUGGAGAAAUGAUGCUGAAAAUUCAGCUUGGCCAUCACAGGAAUAAACAGUUAUUUUUAAGUGUAAUAAUAUUUCACAAUAUUACUGCGUUUUUGAUCAAAUACAUGCAACUUUGG